rnacentral:tRNA from 1 species
AACCAAAAACUUUUAUAAACAAAAAACUUUCAUUUGAAUUAAUCACUAAACCCACUCAACUAAUACCUCAAACAA